rnacentral:rRNA from 1 species
AUUGAACGCUGGCGGCAUGCCUAACACAUGCAAGUCGAACGCCCCGCAAGGGGAGUGGCGAACGGGUGAGUAACGCGUGGGAACCUACCCAGCAGUUGGGGAUAACCGCGGGAAACUGCGGCUAAUACCGAAUACGUCCUAAGGGAGAAAGAUUUAUCGCUGUUGGAGGGGCCCGCGUCGGAUUAGCUAGUUGGUGAGGUAACGGCUCACCAAGGCAUCGAUCCGUAGCUGGUCUGAGAGGAUGAUCAGCCACACUGGGACUUAGACACGGCCCAGACUCCUACGGGAGGCAGCAGUGGGGAAUAUUGGACAAUGGGCGCAAGCCUGAUCCAGCCAUGCCGCGUGUGUGAUGAAGGCCUUAGGGUUGUAAAGCACUUUCACCGGAGAAGAUAAUGACGGUAUCCGGAGAAGAAGCCCCGGCUAACUUCGUGCCAGCAGCCGCAGUAA